GAUGAACGCUAGCGGCAGGCCCAAUACAUGCAAGUCGAACGAGAUUGAGGAGCUUGCUCUUCAUGAAAGUGGCGCACGGGUGCGUAACGCGUAUGCAACCUACCUUAAUCAGGGGGAUAGCCUCUCGAAAGAGAGAUUAACACCGCAUAACAUUAUUAUAUGGCAUCAUAUGAUAAUCAAAUAUUUAUAGGAUUAAGAUGGGCAUGCGUGACAUUAGUUAGUUGGCGGGGUAACGGCCCACCAAGACGAUGAUGUCUAGGGGAUCUGAGAGGAUGACCCCCCCCACUGGUACUGAGACACGGACCAGACUCCUACGGGAGGCAGCAGUAAGGAAUAUUGGUCAAUGGGCGCAAGCCUGAACCAGCCAUGCCGCGUGCAGGAAGACGGCCCUACGGGUUGUAAACUGCUUUUAUACUGGAAUAAACCUACUUACGUGUAAGUAGCUGAAUGUACAGUAAGAAUAAGGAUCGGCUAACUCCGUGCCAGCAGCCGCGGUAAGAC
rnacentral:rRNA from 1 species